rnacentral:rRNA from 1 species
CAGUAGCCGCGGGAAUACGAAGGGUGCAAGCGUUAAUCGGAAUUACUGGGCGUAAAGCGUGCGUAGGCGGUUUGUUAGGUCUGUUGUGAAAUCCCCGGGCUCAACCUGGGAAUGGCAAUGGAUACUGGCAAGCUAGAGUGUGUCAGAGGAUGGCGGAAUUCCCGGUGUAGCGGUGAAAUGCGUAGAGAUCGGGAGGAACAUCAGUGGCGAAGGCGGCCAUCUGGGACAACACUGACACUGAGGCACGAAAGCGUGGGGAGCAAACAGGAUUAGAUACCCGUGUAGUCCCUGUCUCUUAUAC